rnacentral:rRNA from 1 species
UAUCGUAAUUGAAGAGGUUUGGAAAGACCCACCACAGAAGGUAAUAGUCCUGUAUGUUAAACGAGAAGACUUCAGAUAUGAUCCAGAGUACCACGGGACACGUGAAACCCUGUGGGAAGCAGGAGGGACCACCCUCCAAGGCUAAAUACUACCUAGUGACCGAUAGCGUAUAGUACCGUGAGGGAAAGGUGAAAAGAACCCCGGGAGGGGAGUGAAAUAGAACCUGAAACUCUGCACUUACAAGCUGUGGAAGCACAUUUCUUGUGUGACCGCGUACUUUUUGUAGAACGGGCCAACGAGUUACGUUAAGUAGCAAGGUUAAGCACUUAAGGUGCGGAGCCGUAGCGAAAGCGAGUUUUAACUGAGCGUUCAGUUACUUGACGUAGACCCGAAACCGGGCGACCUACCCAUGAGCAGGAUGAAGCGAAAGUAAAUUUCGUGGAGGUCCGAACCACGAGCGUUGAAAGCUCGGGGAUGACUUGUGGGUAGCGGUGAAAUUCCAAUCGAGCCCGGAGAUAGCUGGUUCUCCCCGAAAUAGCUUUAGGGCUAGCCUCAAGGUGAGAGAUACGGAGGUAGAGCACUGAAUGUCCUAGGGGGUAUUGCACCUACCGAAGACUAUCAAACUCCGAAUGCCGUCAUCUUAUACUUGGGAGUCAGACUGUGGGUGAUAAGAUUCAUAGUCGAAAGGGCAACAGCCCAGAUCGUCAGCUAAGGUCCCUAAAUGUAAGUUAAGUGGUAAAGGAUGUGGGAUUGCACAGACAACCAGGAUGUUGGCUUAGAAGCAGCCACUCAUUCAAAGAGUGCGUAAUAGCUCACUGGUCGAGUGAUCCUGCGCCGAAGAUUUCCGGGGCUAAAACUUACUACCGAAGCUACGGCAUCAGUAAUGAUGGGUAGGGGAGCUUCCCAUACGGGUUGAAGCAUGACCGUAAGGACAUGUGGACAGUAUGGGAGUGAGAAUGUUGGCAUGAGUAGCGAGAUGUGGGUGAGAAUCCCACAGGCCGUAAACCCAAGGUUUCCAGGGGAAGGUUCGUCCGCCCUGGGUUAGUCGGGACCUAAGCUGAGGCCGAAAGGCGUAGGUGAUGGACAACAGGUUGAUAUUCCUGUACUACCGAUAACCGUUUGAGAGAUGGGAUGACACAGUAGGAUAAGCUAAGCACACUGUUGGUUAUGUGUGCCCAAGCAUUGAGGCAGUCAAAGUAGGCAAAUCCGCUUUGAUAAUGCUGGGAUGUGAUGGGGAGCGAAAUUUAGUAGCGAAGUAGCUGAUUUCACACUGUCAAGAAAAGUCUCUAUCGAGGUUAAAGGUACCCGUACCGCAAACCGACACAGGUGGGUGAGGAGAGUAUCCUAAGGCCAGCGAGAGAACUGUUGUUAAGGAACUCGGCAAAAUGACCCCGUAACUUAGGGAUAAGGGGUGCCACCAUCAGGUGGCCGCAGAGAAUAGGCCCAAGCGACUGUUUACCAAAAACAUAGGUUUCUGCUAAGUCGCAAGACGAUGUAUAGGAGCUGACGCCUGCCCGGUGCUGGAAGGUUAAGGGGAUCUGUUAGAGCAAUCGAAGCAGUGAACUUAAGCCCCAGUAAACGGCGGCCGUAACUAUAACGGUCCUAAGGUAGCGAAAUUCCUUGUCGGGUAAGUUCCGACCCGCACGAAAGGCGUAACGAUUUGGGCACUGUCUCAACAACAGACUCGGUGAAAUUGUAAUUCCGGUGAAGAUGCCGGAUACCUGCGACAGGACGGAAAGACCCCAUGGAGCUUUACUGUAGCUUGACAUUGGGUCUUGGUACUACAUGUACAGGAUAGGUGGGAGGCUUUGAAACCAGGACGCCAGUUUUGGCGGAGCCAUCCUUGGGAUACCACCCUUGUAGUACUGGGACUCUAAUCAUAGGCCAUGAAUCUGGUCUUGGGACACUGUCAGGUGGGCAGUUUGACUGGGGCGGUCGCCUCCCAAAAGGUAACGGAGGCGCUCAAAGGUUCUCUCAGUACGGUCGGAAAUCGUACGUAGAGUGUAAAGGCAAAAGAGAGCUUGAUUGCAAGACAUACAGGUCGAGCAAGGAUGAAAAUCGGACUUAGUGAUCCGGUGGUUCUGCGUGGAAGGGCCAUCGCUCAACGGAUAAAAGCUACCCUGGGGAUAACAGGCUUAUCUCCCCCAAGAGUCCACAUCGACGGGGAGGUUUGGCACCUCGAUGUCGGCUCAUCACAUCCUGGGGCUGUAGUAGGUCCCAAGGGUUGGGCUGUUCGCCCAUUAAAGUGGUACGCGAGCUGGGUUCAGAACGUCGUGAGACAGUUCGGUCCCUAUCCGUCGCAGGCGUAGGAAAUUUGAGAAGACCUGUCCUUAGUACGAGAGGACCGGGAUGGACGUACCUCUGGUGUACCAGUUGUCCUGCCAAGGGCAUGGCUGGGUAGCUAUGUACGGAAUGGAUAAGCGCUGAAAGCAUCUAAGCGCGAAGCCAACUUCAAGAUAAGAUUUCCCACCGCAAGGGUAAGACCCCAGAAAGACUAUCUGGUUGAUAGGUCGAAGGUGUAAGUGCAGCAAUGUAUUUAGCUUAUCGAUACUAAUAGGUCGAGGACUUGACCAA